GGUCGGCCAGGCGGCCGCGUCACCCUCACGGGUGCCGAGGAACGUCCGGGCUCCACAGAGCAGGGUGGUGGGUAACACCCACCCGGAGUAAUCCGCGAGAUAGUGCCACAGAGAGUAGACCGCCGAUUUUCGGAUCGGUAAGGGUGAAAGGGUGGUGUAAGAGACCACCAGAGGGACAGGUGACUGUUCCUGCUCGGUAAACCUCGCCCGGAGCAAGACCAAACAGGUGUCGCCAUCGUUGCUCGCGUAGACACCGGGUAGGUCGCUAGAAAUCAGCGGUAACGCUGAUUCGAGAGAGAUGGUCGCCCUCAGGGAAACCUGGGACAGAACCCGGCGUAUCGGCCGGCCUC
rnacentral:RNase_P_RNA from 1 species